rnacentral:ribozyme from 1 species
UCCAACCCGAGCUCUGUUAAUGGGGUAAGACUCCUUUCGGGGUUACAUAGGCUCUCCUACCCAACUUCUAUUCCGUAACGUCCUCGUCGUACAGAGUGGUAACUUUCCCCACCACAUAUCCAAGCUUGGGUACACGGGCCUGUCCCAAUCCUUUGGAGAAAGGCUAAACAGGAGGGG